rnacentral:misc_RNA from 1 species
GAUGAAGAACGUAGCGAAAUGCGAUAAGUAAUGUGAAUUGCAGAAUUCAGUGAAUCAUCGAAUCUUUGAACGCAUCUUGCGCUCCUUGGUAUUCUGAGGAGCAUGCCUGUUUGAGUGUCAUUAAAUUCUCAACUACACUGACUUUGAAUUGGUGUGGCUUGGAUUUGGGGGGAAAAUUGUUGUGGGCUUUUUGAAUAGUCUGCUCCCCUGAAAUUGAUUAGCGGUACCUUUGUGGAACUGUCUACAGGUGUGAUAAUUAUCUACAUCUUAGACAUCUGCUGGAAUGCUGCUUUCUAAACCUUACUUGUAUUGACAAUCUUGACCUCAAAUCAGGUAGGACUACCCGCUGAACUUAAGCAUAUCAAUAAGCGGAGGA